rnacentral:misc_RNA from 1 species
GAUGAAGAACGUAGCGAAAUGCGAUAAGUAGUGUGAAUUGCAGAAUUCAGUGAAUCAUCAAAUCUUUGAACGCACAUUGCGCCCCUUGGUAUCCCGAGGGGCAUGCCUGUUCGAGCGUCAUUUCACCACUCAAGCCUGGCUUGGUGUUGGGCGACGUCCCCUUUGGGGACGCGCCUCGAAACGCUCGGCGGCGUGGCACCGGCUUUAAGCGUAGCAGAAUCUUUCGCUUUGGAAGUCGGGGCCCCGUCUGCCGGAAGACCUACUCGCAAGGUUGACCUCGGAUCAGGCAGGGAUACCCGCUGAACUUAAGCAUAUCAAUAAGCGGAGGA